rnacentral:rRNA from 1 species
AACGAACGCUGGCGGCAGGCUUAACACAUGCAAGUCGAGCGCCCCGCAAGGGGAGCGGCAGACGGGUGAGUAACGCGUGGGAACCUACCCUUUUCUACGGAAUAACGCAUGGAAACGUGUGCUAAUACCGUAUACGCCCUACGGGGGAAAGAUUUAUCGGGGAAGGCAGGGCCCGCGGUGGAUUAGCUAGUGGGUGGGGUAAAGGCCUACCAAGGCGACGAUCCAUAGCUGGUCUGAGAGGAUGAUCAGCCACAUUGGGACUGAGACACGGCCCAACCUCCUACGGGAGGCAGCAGUGGGGAAUAUUGGACAAUGGGCGCAAGCCUGAUCCAGCCAUGCCGCGUGAGUGAUGAAGGCCCUAGGGUUGUAAAGCUCUUUCACCGGAGAAGAUAAUGACGGUAUCCGGAGAAGAAGCCCCGGCUAACUUCGUGCCAGCAGCCGCGGUAA